rnacentral:rRNA from 1 species
AUACGGAGGAUCCGAGCGUUAUCCGGAUUUAUUGGGUUUAAAGGGUGCGCAGGCGGGAGAUUAAGUCGGCGGUGAAAUUUUUCAGCUCAACUGUAAAAGUGCCUUCGGAACUGGUUUUCUUGAGUAUUGGUGAAGGAGGCGGAAUUUGUGGGGUAGGGGUGGAAUGCAUAGAUAUCACGAGGAACUCCGAUUGCGCAGGCAGCUUACUAAGCCAUAACUGACGCUCAUGCACGAAGGCGUGGGGAUCAAACAGGAUUAGAUACCCUGGUAGUCCACGCAGUAAACGAUGAUUACUCGCUGUUUGCGAUACAAUGUAAGCGGCUAAGCGAAAGCAUUAAGUAAUCCACCUGGGGAGUACGUUCGCAAGAAUGAAACUCAAAUGAAUUGACGGGG